GGUGGAGUGGCCGAGUGGUCAAAGGCAGCAGACUGUAAAUCUGCCGGUGAAAGCCUACGUUGGUUCAAAUCCAACCUCCACCACCA
rnacentral:tRNA from 1 species